rnacentral:rRNA from 1 species
GAUCCUGGCUCAGGAUGAACGCUAGCGACAGGCUUAACACAUGCAAGUCGAGGGGCAGCACAGGUAGCAAUACCGGGUAGCAACCGGCGCACGGGUGAGUAACGCGUAUGCAACUUACCUAUCAGAGGGGGAUAACCCGGCGAAAGUCGGACUAAUACCGCAUGAGGCAGGGGUCCCGCAUGGGGAUAUUUGCUAAAGAUUCAUCGCUGAUAGAUAGGCAUGCGUUCCAUUAGG